UCAUCUUUGGCAAAAUAGGUCCCUAAGCUUAUAAAUCAUCCUUUGCAAAAUAGGUCCUAAGGUUAUGUAUGUUUGCCAAAUGUCAUCUAUUUAUUUCCUUCUUUUUCAAGGGUCCUUCUAGACUAUUGUUAAAACUAAAGUUGGGUGUUGACUGAGGGUACGUAGCUUUUUCCUGCUUUAUCCAAUUUGUUUACUCAUGCCUACCCUUUCCCGUUUUUUUGCCACGUGCUUCUUUCCUUGCUUUGCCUUCUUCCCGAUCCUUCCACCAACACCUACCCUUUCCUAUUCCAGAUCGACUCUCCUCCGGUUCCCCCUCCACCAAAGUUCUGCCUUGCUGUAAAUCCUCACCGAUUUCUCUCCCUAUUCAAUUUUUUCUUCUUUGUUUGAUCUACAACCCAUUCAAUUCCUCGAUUUUUUGUCUUCCCUGCGUAUUUGGUUUCUCGGUUUUGUUUUCCCCCCGAUCCAUUUGUCGAUGAGGUGUGUAAUUCCUCGAUUUCCCGUUGUCGGCGUCAAACAGAGGGGAAAAAAACUUUAUUGUACUUGAUGCAUAGUUCCGAUUUCUCUUAUAAUUCCUUCAUCAACGGUUACAGAGGUGUGUAUAGAUGGUGAUUGAAAGGUACCUUCUACUCCAUCUUUUGUGUUCUCAUUGCGUAUAAGUUUUUUCUAGGUCUUCACUUAUCUACUUCAAGGUUUGUCUGUUCUACCACCUCCGCCACUCCUGUGAGUUCCUCGACCAAUCUAGCAUCUUCCUCCGCCAACAACUAGAGACAAUAUACGACAUCCAUUGAGGGGAAAAGACAUUAAAGAUGAUAAAGGCAUCAACUAGGUUUUGAUAUCUAUACAACCAUCAAUUUGAGAUUUACAGGUAAGUAGCUUUGAUUUGGGAUCUGAAACGGUCUUAUCAGACUCAUCAAUGGGUACAUAAUCAUCAACGACAUGUGUAUUAACCUGCAUCCCAACGUCAUGUACCGGAGUAAAGAAUGGUCGUGUAUUUACUGCUUCAGGAAUUCAUUAAUAGUCCUAUCCAUAAUACUUUUUCUCUUUAUAUUUCUCUUUUUAGCUCCAUGCUCUUUGAGAAAUCUGAUUUCCAUGUCAGUCAUUUCAUAUUUUAUAUGUGUUUUUUAGGUGGUGAGUUGGUACUCCAUGGUCGUUGCUUGAAAACACUACUCGUGUAGACAUGGAAAUGGAGUUUGCUUACACUCAUGUGGAUGUCUAACUUCUUAUUGUUUUAUUUGGAAUAGUUGAGAGAUGAAGCAAAGGAAAAGGAGGGACUAAGUAUGGGGAAAAAGUUGAAACAUAAAAAGUCAAAUCACAGGAAGCCAUCAACAUGUUAAGGAAGAAAGGGCAUUACGUUAACCAGGUUCAUGCAAUUUUUAAGGAACUGUUGGCAAUAACCGUUGGUAGACUUCUUGUUUCCGGUGUAGAUGUUAUCAACUCGAUACUGGAAAGGGAUAUCUGCGUAAAGCAUUAUCGGCGACGGGCAAUAACGGCGACGCUAGGGCAAUAACGGCGACACUAGGGCAAUAGCGGCGACAAGUGGAGGGAAAAGUCAGCGAGUCUUUUCGCUUUCCUCUACAGCCGUUGGAUUGAAAAGAGAUCGGACGGUUGGGGUUAAAAUGACACGGAUCGCUGUAACAAAGAAUUAGCGGCGACACCUAGCAAUAGCGGCGACAUGUAACGCGUCAAUUACAUGUCGCCGCUAUUGUUUGGUGUCGCCGCUAAAGGCGUCGCCGGUAAUGCCAAGGUUUCUUGUAGUGAAAUAAUGGUGUUAUAUAAGUCUUCAACACUAAUUUCAUACGCAAAUUAGAACCUACUUCCCAGAUAAAUAUCCAUGUCAUUUUCUACACAUUUUUUUUUUAAAUAAAGGUCUCAUAAAAACAACAAUAUCGAUACAAACAAUCUUAAAUUUACAACUAUUUUACUGUUGUUUUAGCAUUUAACCAAUAAAGAGUCCAUAACUUAAUUUGUAAAUGAAUUCUUAAACAUUAAGGUCAUUAAGAUCCUAUCUUACAAACCAUCUUGCGAGAUCAUAUAUGCAUCCGGUUGAGAGGUUUUUUGCAUGGCCCCACCAUUAUCUACUUUCAUACCCGACAGUAGCAGCAAGCUCGACCCUUAAUGACACCAACCUUUUUGCAGCUACCCACAUACAUUAAUCUUCAUGCAAUUCUUUUUCACUUGAAAUUCAAAAAUAUAUACAGCCAAGCAAGGUAGAUGUACACAUGAAAACUACUUUGCAUCUUGUUCCUAAUUAUCCAUCAAGAUUCUAGGCACCUGCAUGAGAGAAAUAAUAGCACGUUUAAAAAAACUUUGAACACUGAUUGGUUUUUGGGAAUAAACAAAUACAUAUGUUGCCAAUUGUAGUCAUCAAACUUGAUCUUCUUGGAUGUAGGUACAUCACUCCCUGCCUAUUUUUCAAAUUCAGCAACUAACAAAUUCAAACAUAAUGCAUACCUAUAAUCACAAAAUCAUAAGGACUAAUCCUAUUCUUACAACUUCUAAUUAGUACUCAAAAUCAAUAUUAGCAGCCUCAAUCUUCUUGUGCCGUUUUUAGACCAAUUUAAAUAUCCCAUCUACCAAAUCUUUAUGCUCUUCAUAUGUCAUUUUCUGAAUCAUUUUACUCAACAACAAUUGAGGUAGGUAACUUAGUUUGAGUCAUGACCGGAUGAAUAUCCAGUCAAGCCUUGAAGAAUAACGGCCAAAAUAUUUAAUGCGGUGAUUAAACAUUAAAUGAAAUGAAGUCAAUCAACAAAGAGAAUGCUUGGAAAGUGAAAUGAAGUAAAUGAACAAAGAGAAUGUUUGGAAAGAACGACGGAUGUAAUUCUUGAUAUGAGAAACGUUAAUGAUUACAUGCAUGGGUUGACAUUCCUAUUCAUAGCAAAUAGGAGCAUGCAAAUUAAACUCAUUUCAUAUCAUUUUAUAUAUUAUUAAUUAGAGAAUAAAUUAAACUUAUGUUUGGUUCAUGGAUUGCAAAGGAAUUCGAAAGAAUUAAAGUAAAAGAUUAGGUGGUUGACGUAUUUAGCUGACAAAUGGAUGAAAGUUAAUUUGGUUAAAAUACAUCUAAAUCCACAAUUGAAAGAUUCUAUCAUUUUUUUGACACAAGUUCAAUAAAUCAUGUAAAUUCCAUUACUAAAGUAUGUUCCCUUCUCAAUUAAAUGUUGAUGUUACAUGCCUUUAUACCCGCCUGGACCUCUAAACCUUCCUCAUGAGUCCAUGGAGGAUUGCAUUAUUGGUAGCUACAAAAUCCCUAAAGGCACACGUUUAUUGACUAAUCUUUGGAAAAUUCAACAUGAGCUAGAUCCUAAAGAAUUUCAGCCAGAAAGAUUCUUGACAACUCACAAACAUGUUGAUGUCAGGGGAAACAAUUAUGAAUUGCUUCCUUUCGGUAGUGGUAGAAGAGUAUGCCCUGCUAUUCCGUUUGCUCUUCGGUCUUUGUAUAUAACUUUAGCUACUUUAAUACAACAAUUUGUGCUUAAAAAGCCAUCGAAUGAACCCAUUGAUAUGAGUGAAAGCGCCGGAGUGAGUAUCAGCAAAGCAAUCCCACUUGAGGUCCUUCUCGCCCCCCGUUUAUCCCUUGAUAUGUAUCCUAUUGCUGCAUGAUAUGUCAGCUUCAAAGCAACUACAAGCUCCAAUGCCGGUGACUAUAAGCCCGCACCCUGACUAUAAGCCCGCACCCUAGAAUUGUGAUUAAUAAUGAAUUAUGCAUUAAUGAUUGUUGUAUAAAUAAUCAUGAGAAAAAAAUAAUUAAAGAAGUCGAGAUGUAGGCAAUAGUUGGCAAAAAAAAAAAUAAUUUAGACAUAAUUUUCUUUUCAAGAGAAUCGUGUUCGAAAUUGUGGAAAAAAUGUGACAAGGGUAUAAUUGUCCACUUUUAGUUUUCAUUUCUUUUCCUUCCAACUCGGGAACACAAAAAAAAUAAUUUUCAUUUUCUUUCUCUCGAACUCGAACUCGGGAACAGAAAACUACACUUUACUUUCCUUUCCAUUAUUUUAUUUUCUCUCGGCAUUUCUCUUCUUUUCUUUCCUUUAAAUGAAACUCAGGAACAGGGUGUAACCGCCGUUUCCCCUCACCAUUGCCAUUUCCCUGGUUUUCUGUAGAUUUUUUUUGUCAUUUAUUACGCCACCAGGUUCCUCACUAUCGCUGCCAUCACCACCAUAACCGUACGAUUUAUAUCAGUUUAUUUCCUGUCGU